GACGAACGCUGGCGGCGUGCUUAACACAUGCAAGUCGAACGGAAAGGCCCUGCUUUUGUGGGGUGCUCGAGUGGCGAACGGGUGAGUAACACGUGAGUAACCUGCCCCUGACUUUGGGAUAACUUCAGGAAACUGGGGCUAAUACCGGAUAGGAGCUCCUGCUGCAUGGUGGGGGUUGGAAAGUUUCGGCGGUUGGGGAUGGACUCGCGGCUUAUCAGCUUGUUGGUGGGGUAGUGGCUUACCAAGGCAUUGACGGGUAGCCGGGCUGGGAGGGUGACCGGCCCCAUUGGGACUGAGCUGAGGCCCAGACUCCAACGGGAGGCAGCAGUGGGGAAUAUUGCACAAUGGGCGGGAGCCUGAUGCAGCAACGCCGCGUGCGGGAUGACGGCCUUCGGGUUGUAAACCGCAUUCGCCUGUGACGAAGCGUGAAUGACGGUAAUGGGUAAAUAAGCACCGGCUAACUACGUG
rnacentral:rRNA from 1 species